GUUUAAAACUGUACAUGUCUCAGCAGGUGGCAGUAGCUGUCUGUCUGGGUUGGAAGCUAAGCAUAGUCAGCCCUGGUUGCUAUUUAGAUGGGAAACUACUAGGGAAUCCCGGGAGUUUAGGCU
rnacentral:rRNA from 1 species